rnacentral:misc_RNA from 1 species
UCCGGUUUGUCACCGGCAGUCUCCCAUGAGUCCCCAACUUAAUGCUGGCAACAUGGAACGGGGGUUGCGCUCGUUGCGGGACUUAACCCAACAUCUCACGACACGAGCUGACGACAGCCAUGCAGCACCUGUGUGUCGGCUCCCUUUCGGGCACGCCUCCGUCUCGAGAGGCUUCCGACCAUGUCGAGGGUAGGUAAGGUUUUUCGCGUUGCAUCGAAUUAAUCCACAUCAUCCACCGCUUGUGCGGGUCCCCGUCAAUUCCUUUGAGUUUUAACCUUGCGGCCGUAGUCCCCAGGCGGAGCACUUAAUGCGUUAGCGUCGGCACCGCGGGGGUCAAUACCUCGGACACCUAGUGCCCAUCGUUUACAGCGUGGACUAC